AGGGAUGUGGCAGGUUUGCAUUCUGUGCCUCUGUGCUCUCACGGCUUCUGUGACUACAGACCCCACAGUCACUUUGCUGGAGCAAAAGCCAAGAUGGAGUCUGGUACCCCGUGGUCAGGCUGCGACCCUGCGCUGCAUCUUGAAGGAUUCCCAGUAUCCCUGGAUGAGCUGGUAUCAGCAGGAUCUCCAACAGCAACUACACUGGCUGGUCACUCUGCAGAGUCCCGGGGACAAAGAGGUCAAAUCUCUCCCUGACGCUGAUUACGUGGCCACACGAGUCACUGAUACAGAGCUGAGGCUACAAGUGGCCAACAUGACCCAGGGCAGGACCUUGUACUGCACCUGCAGUAGAGACACAGCCGUAAGCUCUGCUGGGCCCUUGGAUCAAAAACCACACACACAGAACUGCGCUGCCUUCCCAUCCUUGCUGCUCCGCAAGCCCUUCUGAGCCUUCUUCCUUUCCACCCAGACUUCGCACCCCCUUGCCCUAGCAAAAA